rnacentral:rRNA from 1 species
UACGGGGGGGGCAAGCGUUGUUCGGAAUUACUGGGCGUAAAGGGCGCGUAGGUGGCCUUCUAAGUCGAACGUGAAAUCCCUGGGCUCAACCCAGGAACUGCGUCCGAGACUGGGAGGCUUGAAUCCGGGAGAGGGAUGCGGAAUUCCAGGUGUAGCGGUGAAAUGCGUAGAUAUCUGGAGGAACACCGGUGGCGAAGGCGGCAUCCUGGACCGGGAUUGACACUGAGGCGCGAAAGCCAGGGGAGCAAACGGG